UACGUAGGUGGCAAGCGUUGUCCGGAUUUAUUGGGUUUAAAGGGUGCGUAGGCGGCUUUAUAAGUCAGUGCUGAAAUAUCCCGGCUUAACCGGGAGGGUGGCAUUGAUACUGUAGAGCUUGAGUAAAGUUGAGGUUGGCGGAAUUGACGGUGUAGCGGUGAAAUGCUUAGAUAUCGUCAAGAACACCGGUAGUGAAGACAGCUAACUAAGCUUUAACUGACGCUGAGGCACGAAAGUGUGGGGAUCAAACAGG
rnacentral:rRNA from 1 species